GUACACACCGCCCGUCGCUACUACCGAUUGAAAGGGUCAGGGAGGAUGUGUGAGGGGGGAAAAGUGUGAUAAGCACUGAUCCUUGGCGAGCACACCCAAUCCGGCACUUUUAGAGGAAGUAAAAGUCGUAACAAGGUUUCCGUAGGUGAACCUGCAGAAGGAUCA
rnacentral:rRNA from 1 species